rnacentral:rRNA from 1 species
CCCCUUCGGGGGUGAUGCUCGUGGAACGAGCGGCGGACGGGUGAGUAACACGUGGGCAACCUGCCUGUAAGACCGGAAUAACCCCGGGAAACCGGGGCUAAUGCCGGGUAACACUUUCUUUCGCAUGAAAGAGAGUUGAAAGAUGGCUUCUUGCUAUCACUUACAGAUGGGCCCGCGGCGCAUUAGCUAGUUGGUGAGGUAACGGCUCACCAAGGCGACGAUGCGUAGCCGACCUGAGAGGGUGAUCGGCCACACUGGGACUGAGACACGGCCCAGACUCCUACGGGAGGCAGCAGUAGGGAAUCUUCCGCAAUGGACGAAAGUCUGACGGAGCAACGCCGCGUGAACGAUGAAGGUCUUCGGAUCGUAAAGUUCUGUUGUUAGGGAAGAACAAGUACCGUGCGAAUAGAACGGUACCUUGACGGUACCUAACGAGGAAGCCCCGGCUAACUACGUGCCAGCAGCCGCGGUAAUACGUAGGGGGCAAGCGUUGUCCGGAAUUAUUGGGCGUAAAGCGCGCGCAGGCGGUUCCUUAAGUCUGAUGUGAAAGCCCACGGCUCAACCGUGGAGGGUCAUUGGAAACUGGGGAACUUGAGGACAGAAGAGGAGAGUGGAAUUCCACGUGUAGCGGUGAAAUGCGUAGAUAUGUGGAGGAACACCAGUGGCGAAGGCGACUCUCUGGUCUGUUUCUGACGCUGAGGUGCGAAAGCGUGGGUAGCAAACAGGAUUAGAUACCCUGGUAGUCCACGCCGUAAACGAUGAGUGCUAGGUGUUAGGGGGCUUCCACCCCUUAGUGCUGAAGUUAACGCAUUAAGCACUCCGCCUGGGGAGUACGGCCGCAAGGCUGAAACUCAAAGGAAUUGACGGGGGCCCGCACAAGCGGUGGA